rnacentral:rRNA from 1 species
GGGUCAGUAGGUUGGUCGUGCCACCGGUACGUACUGGUCUCACUGAUUCCUCCUUCCUGAAGAACCGUAAUGCCAUUAAUUUGGUGUUGCGGGGAAACAGGACUGUUACUUUGAAAAAAUUAGAGUGUUUAAGGCAAGCUAACGCUUGAAUACAUUAGCAUGGGAUAAUGAAAUAGGACGAUCGAUCCUAUUUUGUUGGUUUCUAGGAUUGACGUA